rnacentral:rRNA from 1 species
GAUGGCUUUCGGGCCAUAGUGGCGCACGGGUGCGUAACGCGUGGGAAUCUGCCCUGGGGUCUGGGAUAACGUCGGGAAACUGACGCUAAUACCGGAUGAUGACGAAGGUCCAAAGAUUCAUCGCCCUGGGAUGAGCCCGCGUCGGAUUAGCUUGUUGGUGGGGUAAAGGCCCACCAAGGCGACGAUCCGUAGCUGGUCUGAGAGGAUGAUCAGCCACACUGGGACUGAGACACGGCCCAGACUCCUACGGGAGGCAGCAGUGGGGAAUAUUGGACAAUGGGCGAAAGCCUGAUCCAGCAAUGCCGCGUGAGUGAUGAAGGCCUUAGGGUUGUAAAGCUCUUUUGCCCGGGAAGAUAA